UACGGGGGGGGGGCAAGCGUUGUUCGGAAUUACUGGGCGUAAAGGGCUCGUAGGUGGCCAACUAAGUCAGACGUGAAAUCCCCGGGCUCAACCUGGGAACUGCAUCUGUGACUGUAUAGCUAGAGUACGGUAGAGGGGGAUGGAAUUCCGCGUGUAGCAGUGAAAUGCGUAGAUAUGCGGAGGAACACCGAUGGCGAAGGCAAUCCCCUGGACCUGUACUGACGCUCAUGCACGAAAGCGUGGGGAGCAAACAGGG
rnacentral:rRNA from 1 species